rnacentral:rRNA from 1 species
GACGAACGCUGGCGGCGUGCUUAACACAUGCAAGUCGAACGAAGAGCGAUGGAAGCUUGCUUCUAUCAAUCUUAGUGGCGAACGGGUGAGUAACGCGUAAUCAACCUGCCCUUCAGAGGGGGACAACAGUUGGAAACGACUGCUAAUACCGCAUACGAUCUAAUCUUGGCAUCGAGGAUAGAUGAAAGGUGGCCUCUACAUGUAAGCUAUCACUGAAGGAGGGGAUUGCGUCUGAUUAGCUAGUUGGAGGGGUAACGGCCCACCAAGGCGAUGAUCAGUAGCCGGUCUGAGAGGAUGAACGGCCACAUUGGGACUGAGACACGGCCCCAGCACUCCUACGGGGAGGGCAGCAGUGGGGAAUCUUCCGCAAUGGACGAAAGUCUGACGGAGCAACGCCGCGUGAGUGAUGACGGCCUUCGGGUUGUAAAGCUCUGUUAAUCGGGACGAAAGGCCUUCUUGCGAAUAGUGAGAAGGAUUGACGGUACCGGAAUAGAAAGCCACGGCUAACUACGUGCCAGCAGCCGCGGUAAUACGUAGGUGGCAAGCGUUGUCCGGAAUUAUUGGGCGUAAAGCGCGCGCAGGCGGAUAGGUCAGUCUGUCUUAAAAGUUCGGGGCUUAACCCCGUGAUGGGAUGGAAACUGCCAAUCUAGAGUAUCGGAGAGGAAAGUGGAAUUCCUAGUGUAGCGGUGAAAUGCGUAGAUAUUAGGAAGAACACCAGUGGCGAAGGCGACUUUCUGGACGAAAACUGACGCUGAGGCGCGAAAGCCAGGGGAGCGAACGGGAUUAGAUACCCCGGUAGUCCUGGCCGUAAACGAUGGAUACUAGGUGUGGGAGGUAUCGACCCCUACCGUGCCGGAGUUAACGCAAUAAGUAUCCCGCCUGGGGAGUACGGCCGCAAGGCUGAAACUCAAAGGAAUUGACGGGGACCGCACAGCGGUGGAGUAUGUGGUGUAAUCGAGCACGCGAGAACUUACAGCCUGAAUG